AUUGAACGCUGGCGGCAUGCCUUACACAUGCAAGUCGAACGGUAACGCGGGGCAACCUGGCGACGAGUGGCGAACGGGUGAGUAAUGCAUCGGAACGUGCCUGGUAAUGGGGGAUAACUGCUCGAAAGAGCAGCUAAUACCGCAUACGACCUGAGGGUGAAAGGGGGGGAUCGCAAGACCUCCCGUUAUCAGAGCGGCCGAUGUCGGAUUAGCUAGUUGGUGGGGUAAAAGCCCACCAAGGCGACGAUCCGUAGCUGGUCUGAGAGGACGACCAGCCACACUGGGACUGAGACACGGCCCAGACUCCUACGGGAGGCAGCAGUGGGGAAUUUUGGACAAUGGACGCAAGUCUGAUCCAGCCAUGCCGCGUGCGGGAAGAAGGCCUUCGGGUUGUAAACCGCUUUGUCAGGAAGAAAUCUUCUAGGCUAAUACCUUAGGGUAGGAAUGACGGUACCUGAAGAAUAAGACACCGGCUAACUACGUGCCAGCAG
rnacentral:rRNA from 1 species